AUUGAACGCUGGCGGCAGGCUUAACACAUGCAAGUCGAGCGGGGAAAAGUAGCUUGCUACUGGACCUAGCGGCGGACGGGUGAGUAAUGCUUAGGAAUCUGCCUAUUAGUGGGGGACAACAUCUCGAAAGGGAUGCUAAUACCGCAUACGUCCUACGGGAGAAAGCAGGGGACCUUCGGGCCUUGCGCUAAUAGAUGAGCCUAAGUCGGAUUAGCUAGUUGGUGGGGUAAAGGCCUACCAAGGCGACGAUCGGUAGCGGGUCUGAGGGGAUGAUCCGCCACACUUGGACUGGGACACGGCCCAGACUCCUACGGGAGGCAGCAGUGGGGAAUAUUGGGCAAUGGGGGGAACCCUUAUCCAGCCAUGCCGCGUGUGUGAAGAAGGCCUUUUUGUUGUAAAGCACUUUAAGCGAGGAGGAGGCUACCGAGAUUAAUACUCUUGGAUAGUGGACGUUACUCGCAGAAUAAGCACCGGCUAACUCUGUGCCAGCCGCCGCGGUAAAAC
rnacentral:rRNA from 1 species